GCAGUCGAGCGGACAGAAGGGAGCUUGCUCCCGGAUGUUAGCGGCGGACGGGUGAGUAACACGUGGGUAACCUGCCUGUAAGACUGGGAUAACUCCGGGAAACCGGAGCUAAUACCGGAUAGUUCCUUGAACCGCAUGGUUCAAGGAUGAAAGACGGUUUCGGCUGUCACUUACAGAUGGACCCGCGGCGCAUUAGCUAGUUGGUGAGGUAACGGCUCACCAAGGCGACGAUGCGUAGCCGACCUGAGAGGGUGAUCGGCCACACUGGGACUGAGACACGGCCCAGACUCCUACGGGAGGCAGCAGUAGGGAAUCUUCCGCAAUGGACGAAAGUCUGACGGAGCAACGCCGCGUGAGUGAUGAAGGUUUUCGGAUCGUAAAGCUCUGUUGUUAGGGAAGAACAAGUGCAAGAGUAACUGCUUGCACCUUGACGGUACCUAACCAGAAAGCCACGGCUAACUACGUGCCAGCAGCCGCGGUAAUACGUAGGUGGCAAGCGUUGUCCGGAAUUAUUGGGCGUAAAGGGCUCGCAGGCGGUUUCUUAAGUCUGAUGUGAAAGCCCCCGGCUCAACCGGGGAGGGUCAUUGGAAACUGGGAAACUUGAGUGCAGAAGAGGAGAGUGGAAUUCCACGUGUAGCGGUGAAAUGCGUAGAGAUGUGGAGGAACACCAGUGGCGAAGGCGACUCUCUGGUCUGUAACUGACGCUGAGGAGCGAAAGCGUGGGGAGCGAACAGGAUUAGAUACCCUGGUAGUCCACGCCGUAAACGAUGAGUGCUAAGUGUUAGGGGGUUUCCGCCCCUUAGUGCUGCAGCUAACGCAUUAAGCACUCCGCCUGGGGAGUACGGUCGCAAGACUGAACUCAAAGGAAUUGACGGGGGCCCGCACAAG
rnacentral:rRNA from 1 species